GAACGGGUGAGUAACACGUGGGAAACCUACCUCUUAGCAGGGGAUAACAUUUGGAAACAGAUGCUAAUACCGUAUAACAAUGACAACCGCAUGGUUGUUAUUUAAAAGAUGGUUCUGCUAUCACUAAGAGAUGGUCCCGCGGUGCAUUAGCUAGUUGGUAAGGUAAUGGCUUACCAAGGCGAUGAUGCAUAGCCGAGUUGAGAGACUGAUCGGCCACAAUGGGACUGAGACACGGCCCAUACUCCUACGGGAGGCAGCAGUAGGGAAUCUUCCACAAUGGGCGAAAGCCUGAUGGAGCAACGCCGCGUGUGUGAUGAAGGGUUUCGGCUCGUAAAACACUGUUGUAAGAGAAGAAUGACAUUGAGAGUAACUGUUCAAUGUGUGACGGUAUCUUACCAGAAAGGAACGGCUAAAUACGUGCCAGCAGCCGCGGUAAUACGUAUGUUCCAAGCGUUAUCCGGAUUUAUUGGGCGUAAAGCGAGCGCAGACGGUUAUCUAAGUCUGAAGUGAAAGCCCUCAGCUCAACUGAGGAAUUGCUUUGGAAACUGGAUGACUUGAGUGCAGUAGAGGAAAGUGGAACUCCGUGUGUAGCGGUGAAAUGCGUAGAUAUAUGGAAGAACACCAGUGGCGAANGCGGCUUUCUGGACUGUAACUGACGUUGAGCUCGAAAGUGUGGGUAGCAACAGGAUUAGAUACCCUGGUAGUCACACGUAAACGAUGAGUGCUAGGUGUUUGAGGGUUUCCGCCUUAAGUGCCGCAG
rnacentral:rRNA from 1 species